rnacentral:rRNA from 1 species
ACUCCUGCGGGAGGCAGCAGUGGGGAAUAUUGGACAAUGGGCGCAAGCCUGAUCCAGCCAUGCCGCGUGAGUAAUGAAGGCCCUAGGGUUGUAAAGCUCUUUCACCGGUGAAGAUAAUGACGGUAACCGGAGAAGAAGCCCCGGCUAACUUCGUGCCAGCAGCCGCGGUAAUACGAAGGGGGCUAGCGUUGUUCGGAUUUACUGGGCGUAAAGCGCACGUAGGCGGACUAUUAAGUCAGGGGUGAAAUCCCGGGGCUCAACCCCGGAACUGCCUUUGAUACUGGUAGUCUUGAGUUCGAGAGAGGUGAGUGGAAUUCCGAGUGUAGAGGUGAAAUUCGUAGAGAUUCGGAGGAACACCAGUGGCGAAGGCGGCUCACUGGCUCGAUACUGACGCUGAGGUGCGAAAGCGUGGGGAGCAAACAGGAUUAGAAACCCUGGUAGUCCCAUGAU